AUUGAACGCUGGCGGCAGGCCUAACACAUGCAAGUCGAGCGAGCGGCGGACGGGUGAGUAAUGUAUUGGGACUGCCCGCUCGAGGGGGCUAACUACUGGACACGGUGGCUACUACCGCAUCCUAUCGGAUAACCCAUAUGGGAUUAGCUAGUAGGUGGGGUAAAGGCUCACCUAGGCGACGCUCUCUAGCUGGUCUGAGAGGAUGAUCAGCCACAAGGGGACUGAGACACGGCCCAGACUCAUACGGAGGCAGCAGUGGGGAAUAUUGCACAAUGGGUGCAAGCCUGAUGCAGCCAUGCCGCGUGUAUGAAGAAGGCCUUAGGGUUGUAAAGUACUGUCAGCGGGGAGGCGUUACCCGCAGAAGAAGCACCGGCUAACUCCGGGCCAGCAGCCGCGGUAAUAC
rnacentral:rRNA from 1 species